rnacentral:rRNA from 1 species
AUAGCGUAUAUUAAAGUUGUUGCGGUUAAAAAGCUCGUAGUUGAAUCUGUGUGUCACAGUGUCGGUUCACCGCUCGCGGUGUUUAACUGGCAUUAUGUGGUACGUCCUACCGGUGGGCUUAGCUCCUUGCGGGCGGUCCAACUAAUAUCCCAUCGCGGUGCUCUUUACUGAGUGUCGAGGUGGGCCGGUACGUUUACUUUGAACAAAUUAGAGUGCUCAAAGCAGGCUACCUUCGCCUGAAUACUCUGUGCAUGGAAUAAUGGAAUAGGACCUCGGUUCUAUUUUGUUGGUUUUCGGAACCCCGAGGUAAUGAUUAAUAGGGACAGAUGGGGGCAUUCGUAUUGCGACGUUAGAGGUGAAAUUCUUGGAUCGUCGCAAGACGGACAGAAGCGAAAGCAUUUGCCAAAAAUGUUUUCAUUAAUCAAGAACGAAAGUUAGAGGUUCGAAGGCGAUCAGAUACCGCCCUAGUUCUAACCAUAAACGAUGCCAGCUAGCGAUCCGCCGAAGUUCCUCCGAUGACUCGGCGGGCAGCUUCCGGGAAACCAAAGCUUUUGGGUUCCGGGGGAAGUAUGGUUGCAAAGCUGAAACUUAAAGGAAUUGACGGAAGGGCACCACCAGGAGUGGAGCCUGCGGCUUAAUUUGACUCAACACGGGAAACCUCACCAGGCCCGGACACCGGAAGGAUUGACAGAUUGAUAGCUCUUUCUUGAUUCGGUGGGUGGUGGUGCAUGGCCGUUCUUAGUUGGUGGAGCGAUUUGUCUGGUUAAUUCCGAUAACGAACGAGACUCUAGCCUGCUAAAUAGACGUAUCUUAUGGUAUCUCGAAGGCCCCCGGCUUCGGUCGGAGGGUUUUUACUACCAACGUACAAACAAAUCUUCUUAGAGGGACAGGCGGCUUCUAGCCGCACGAGAUUGA